UUCUGCAGCUAUUAAACAUAACCAGUACUACCCCUGUGAACGCAGUGGCCUCAGCUGAUUUUGGAAAUUAAGGAGGGUCAGGCCUGGCUGUACUUGGGUGAAAGAUCACCAGAGAACACUAGGGGUCUCCAGAGA
rnacentral:rRNA from 1 species